rnacentral:rRNA from 1 species
UACGGGGGGGGCAAGCGUUGUUCGGAAUUACUGGGCGUAAAGGGCUCGUAGGCGGCCAACUAAGUCGGACGUGAAAUCCCCAGGCUCAACCUGGGAACUGCGUCUGAUACUGGAUGGCUUGAAUCCGGGAGAGGGAUGCAGAAUUCCAGGUGUAGCGGUGAAAUGCGUAGAUAUCUGGAGGAGUACCGGUGGCGAAGGCGGCAUCCUGGACCGGCAUUGACGCUGAGGAGCGAAAGCCAGGGGAGCAAACGGG